CGUCGUGAGACAGUUCGGUCCCUAUCUGCCGUGGGCGUAGGAAAGUUGAGGAGAGCUGUCCCUAGUACGAGAGGACCGGGAUGGACGUGCCACUAGUGUACCAGUUGUUCUGCCAAGAGCAUCGCUGGGUAGCUACGCACGGAUGUGAUAACCGCUGAAAGCAUCUAAGCGGGAAGCCAACUCCAAGAUUAACUUUCCCUGAAGGUCGCAAGAAGACUACUUGCUUGAUAGGUUAGGUGUGUAAGUGCAGUAAUGCAUUUAGCUGACUAAUACUAAUAGACCGUUUGGCUUAUUUUU
rnacentral:rRNA from 1 species